AUACUGUCUUUAUAUUAAAWUGAAUUUAACUUAGUGAAAAGGCUUAAAUAGUCUAAAGGGACGAUAAGACCCUAUAAAGCUUUAUAUUAUAAUUAUAUUUUAUUGAAUUUAUAAAAUAAAAUUUUAGUUUAAUUAUUUUAUUAUGKUGGGGAGACAUAAGUAUAAUUUAUAUUAACUGUUAAAUUAUAAAACAAAUAUUAAUGAGUAUUAGAAGAUCCUUUUAUAAAGAUUAAAAGAUUUAGUUACUUUAGGGAUAACAGCGUUAUUUUUUUUGAGAGUCCAUAUCGACAAAAAAGUUUGCGACCUCGAUGUUGAAWUAAAAUUUCUAUAUAAUGAAAGGAUUAUAUAAGAAGGUCUGUUCGACCUUUAAAGUUUUACGUGAUUUGAGUUCAGACCGGCGUAAGCCAGGUUGGUUUCUAUCUUUUAGAGUUAAUAGAAUUAUUUUAGU
rnacentral:rRNA from 1 species